CAUGAUUUGCCCCAUUAAAAGCUAAGGCGUUGUAUAUUUUUCCCUUUGACAUCUAAGCUACAAAAUGGAGGAGAAUUUAGAAAUUCUCAAAUUCUCAAACAGGAAGAGAAUGAAAUGUCAAGAUCAGCGUAUAAAUGCUUCAUGGUCACAUCGAAUCAAUGGAUUACCUGAUAAAUUUCCCUUAAUAUUUGGACCUCACAUCAGGUUUAGCAUGGGGAAUUAAGUGGUUAGAAAUGGGGAAUCAUGCGGCCUUGGUUGAUUAAGACCCAUCCUUGUUUUCAUCCUACUGGAGGAAGCGGAAAGCAUAGGAGUAUACCUUAAAGCGUUGAUUCCUCAGCCUUCACAACAACAUCAGAAAGGUUUGGGUGAGAAUAGCUAGCUGCAGGCGCAACCCAACCAUAUAAACGGAGAGGUUUAGGCUAUUUUGCAUCAAAUUUUGAUCAAUUGAAGAAAAACCAAGAAGAUUCUUAUGUUUAAUUACACACUUCAAAAGGAUGACAACUUCUUGUUGGACUGAUGAAGUGGGUGAACAGAACACCAUAUAUUUUACAUGUUAGCUAGGUAGUUUUAAUGACCAUGCGCCUGAUGAGUGAUUUACAAUAUAAUCAUUUCUAUAUCAUUGUAAUGUGUACCUUUUAUUUUUCUUAUUGAUUAUGAGGAAGUAAACAAUCUUGAACCGGA